GACGAACGCUGGCGGCGUGCUUAACACAUGCAAGUCGAACGGAAAGGCCCUGCUUUUGUGGGGUGCUCGAGUGGCGAACACGUGUGUAACACGUGAGUAACCUGCCCUCGAUUUUGGGAUAACUUCAGGGAACUGUGGCUCUUACCGGGUAGGAGCUCCUGCUGCAUGGUGGGGGUUGGAAAGUUUCGGCGGUUGGGUAUGGACUCGCGGCUUAUCCUCUUGUGGGUGGGGUGGUGGCGUACCAUGGCUUUGACGGGUCGCCGGCCUGAGAGGGUGGCCGGGAACAGUGGGACUGAGAUACGGCCCAGACAGCAACGGGAGGCAGCGGUGGGGAAGAUUGCACAAUGGGCGGAGGCCUGACGCAGCAACGGCGGGUGCGGGAGGACGGCCUUCGGGUUGUAAACCGCUUUCGCCUGUGACGAAGCGGGAGUGACGGUAAUGGGUAAAGAAGCACCGGCUAACUACGUG
rnacentral:rRNA from 1 species